rnacentral:lncRNA from 1 species
UGGAGGCUAUAUACAGGGGGCACCGGUACAGAGUCAAUGUGGAGGCUAUAUACAGGGGGUACCGGUACAGAGUCAAUGGGGAGGCUAUAUACAGGGGGGUACCGGUACCGAGUCAAUGUGGAGGCUAUAUACAGGGGGUACCGGUACAGAGUCAAUGUGGAGGCUAUAUACAGGGGGUACCGGUACAGAGUCAAUGUGGAGGCUAUAUACAGGGGGUACCGGUACAGAGUCAAUGUGGAGGCUAUAUACAGGGGGUACCGGUACCGAGUCAAUGUGGAGGCUAUAUACAGGGGGUACCGGUACAGAGUCAAUGUGGAGGCUAUAUACAG